AAGAACUAUGGAAAAAUAGAUGCUUUGUUCAGAGUAAAUCUUUUGUUUCACUUCACAUUUUUAGUAGAGUACUCAAAAAGCUGGCUGAUAUUCUUGCAGAACCUCUCAAUUACUUUUCAAUUAUCAUGGGAAUCUGGAGAGGACCCAGCUGACUGGAAGCUGACAAACAUCCUCUCCACUGUAAGCCGUUCUAUGAUUUUUUCAAGAGGAGCAAGAAAGAUGACCCUAGGAUUCUGAUUGAUAACAAGCUCAAUCUGAGAGAGUAGUGUGCUCUAGGAGCCAAAAGGUUAAAUUGUGCUCUCAAGUGCAUCAGGUACAACACUGCCAGCUGAGUGAGGGAAGGAACUGUCCUGCUUUGGAGUGAUGUAGUGUAGGGUUAACUAUGUCUUUCUUGGUCAAGAGCAGCCAAUUUCAAGAAGAGCACAAGACUGAAUUUGGAUAAAUCUUCUGUAUAAAAAGUACAGGGUGGAUAUCAGGAAUAACGAUUACCUAAAUUUGUAAUUUUGUAUCUCUGUUGAAUCAGAGAACUGACUGUUCAGGAAGAGCAGAAAAUGAUAACAGACAAUUUUGUUUAUCAGCCAUUACAUUGUACCAUGGUGUUUGAGAGCACUUUUGAACAAAAGUAGGAAGCCGAUUUUAUAAGG